rnacentral:rRNA from 1 species
CCUACGGGAGGCAGCAGUGAGGAAUAUUGGUCAAUGGACGAGAGUCUGAACCAGCCAAGUAGCGUGAAGGAUGACUGCCCUAUGGGUUGUAAACUUCUUUUAUAAAGGAAUAAAACGAGGCACGUGUGCCUUUUUGCAUGUACUUUAUGAAUAAGGAUCGGCUAACUCCGUGCCAGCAGCCGCGGUAAUACGGAGGAUCCGAGCGUUCUCCGGAUUUAUUGGUUUUAAAGGGAGCGUAGAUGGGUUGUUAAGUCAGUUGUGAAAGUUUGCGGCUCAACCGUAAAAUUGCAAUUGAUACUGGUAGGCUUGAGUACAGGUGAGGUAAGCGGAAUUCGUGGUGUAGCGGUGAAAGGCUUAGAUAUCACGAAGAACCCCGAGUGCGAAGGCAGCUUACUAAACUGUGACUGACAUUGAUGCUCGAAAGUGUGGGUAUCAAACAGGAUUAGAUACCCUAGUAGUC